rnacentral:rRNA from 1 species
UACGUAGGGUCCAAGCGUUAUCCGGAAUUACUGGGCGUAAAGCGCACGUAGGCGGCUUUGUAAGUUAGAGGUGAAAGCCCAGGGCUCAACCCUGGAAUUGCCUUUAAGACUGCAUCGCUUGAACAUCGGAGAGGUAAGUGGAAUUCCGAGUGUAGAGGUGAAAUUCGUAGAUAUUCGGAAGAACACCAGUGGCGAAGGCGACUUACUGGACGAUUGUUGACGCUGAGGUGCGAAAGCGUGGGGAGCAAACAGG